rnacentral:misc_RNA from 1 species
UUUCCGUAGGUGAACCUGCGGAAGGAUCAUUACUGAGUGAGGGCCUCUCGGGGUCCAACCUCCCACCCGUGUUUAACGAACCUUGUUGCUUCGGCGGGCCCGCCUCACGGCCGCCGGGGGGCAUCUGCCCCCGGGCCCGCGCCCGCCGAAGCCACCUGUGAACGCUGUCUGAAGUAUGCAGUCUGAGACAAUUAUUAAAUUAAUUAAAACUUUCAACAACGGAUCUCUUGGUUCCGACAUCGAUGAAGAACGCAGC